rnacentral:siRNA from 1 species
UCUCUGCUUCUGUGCUAUUUGA